rnacentral:misc_RNA from 1 species
GUGAAAUAGAACACUAGUGAAGGUGUUGCUAGAACUUUGCAUGUAAAUGAUUGACUUUGGCUGAAUUACGUUGCCACACCAGGCCUCGAUGAGGAAGGAUUACAUUAUGUGACAGCCAACAUAAACUUUUAUCACAUCUCUAAAAUACAAAUGCAGAGCAACAUAGCAUUGAGGUGUAGUGCUAGAUGUGGUGUUAAAUGGGGAAGUGUUCCCAUUUUUUAUUGGAUGUGUGUUGGUAAGAUAGUUCAUGAAGGAGAGGACAUUGAUGUCCUUAG